rnacentral:rRNA from 1 species
UACGAAGGGGGCUAGCGUUGUUCGGAAUCACUGGGCGUAAAGCGCACGUAGGCGGAUCUUUAAGUCAGGGGUGAAAUCCCGAGGCUCAACCUCGGAACUGCCUUUGAUACUGGGGAUCUCGAGUCCGGGAGAGGUGAGUGGAACUGCGAGUGUAGAGGUGAAAUUCGUAGAUAUUCGCAAGAUCACCAGUGGCGAAGGCGGCUCACUGGCCCGGAACUGACGCUGAGGUGCGAAAGCCAGGGGAGCAAACGGG